UCUUAAUCCUGGGAUUAGGACCUGAACCCAAGGCAAUGGCUUAACUGACUGAGCCACCCAGGUGCCCCUCACAACAUUUUAAUAAUGUGCAACUGAAUAAUGAUUUGUUUUUGAAGGGACAGGCAUACAAUAGGAAUGCGUACUUUUUCCUCUGAGAGAGACAUACUAUAGGACAUGGUUACACAGAUUUUCUUCCUUCUAAAAAUCUGAACUGAUGGUAAAGCUUCUCAUAUUUAGUGGGGUUGAUGUUCUCAUGGAGGGUCUGUUGAAAAUGUCAUUACCAUUGGAGACUUCAGUAUGGAUUUGGUGUUUCAUCAGCCAUGCUCAGACUUCCAUGUGAAGGGAACUGUGACCAUACCUUUUAUACAUUUGAAAGGUAUUUCCCAGGAGGAAAUAGGAGAAUUGAGGGCAGACCUGUUUAUUCACAGAAUCUGGAGGGCAGUUUGCAGCACAUUGAGAAGUGCUUUCGGCCUUUCUUAUGAUUUGUAGAGUGCCUAAUAAAUUCUAGAUAUUAAAAGGUUGAAUGGAAUUGACCCAACACCAAAAAGUACCAAAUACAGAGUGAUGGUCCAAAAGAAUUGGUGAGAUUCUAGGUCACCAUCAGAAGGAAUCAAUACAAUAUAGUGGUUUCUGUGGCUUGGAUUUUGUCAGAAGUAACAAGAAGAAAUGUAAGACCAAGAGAAUUAUCACAUUAUCUCAGUUGGGACCCAUCCCACGGGAUACUUGGUCUCUGAUAGUAGCCAGAUCAGUGUGUCCCCGUGGGCCAGGCUUUGCACACAGUAGGCACACUAACAUAGCUCUAUUUUAUAGUCUAUGAUUUUAUAUUCUAUGCAACUUUCAUUCUAGCAGUGUGUAGCAAUCUCCAAGCUCUAGCUACUAAUGCUUUAUUUUAGGGAAACCACCAAUUCAUUUUAUAAAAUCAUGAAGUCUACUUGAUUCCUUCUAGACCUAGAAAGUUCAUCUGGUCUACCUUCUGGUUUCUUUUACACCAAUAGGAUUCCUAGACUGUCUUUGUCUUAUUUUCAGAUGUUUCUAAGGAUAGUUUCAUGAGUCUUCUCUGUAGCUUGCUAAAAUAUCCGAUUAUUAUUUUAAUAGUAUUUUUCUUAGCUUAAACCAAACUGUGUUGCUCCAUUUGAAGCCUUUCUUUUCAUGAGGGAGCAGUCAUUUCUCCUCAUUUUUAGAAAUAAAAAAAAAAAAAGAGCCACUAGCUUAAGUGAUUCCCUUCUGCCUGAAAACCAUACAGCUAGUUGUCAAUUUCUUAUUACCUCCACUCUUGAGCAAAUACCGAGCACCCACCUUGUGCCUUGGUAGUUUGUAGGGCUUGUGCAGUCUUUCCCC